rnacentral:rRNA from 1 species
CCUACGGGAGGCAGCAGUGAGGAAUAUUGGUCAAUGGACGAGAGUCUGAACCAGCCAAGUAGCGUGAAGGAUGACUGCCCUAUGGGUUGUAAACUUCUUUUAUAUGGGAAUAAAAUGUUCCACGUGUGGGAUUUUGUAUGUACCAUAUGAAUAAGGAUCGGCUAACUCCGUGCCAGCAGCCGCGGUAAUACGGAGGAUCCGAGCGUUAUCCGGAUUUAUUGGGUUUAAAGGGAGCGUAGGUGGAUUGUUAAGUCAGUUGUGAAAGUUUGCGGCUCAACCGUAAAAGUGCAGUUGAAACUGGCAGUCGUGAGUACAGUAGAGGUGGGCGGAAUUCGUGGUGUAGCGGUGAAAUGCUUAGAUAUCACGAAGAACUCCGAUUGCGAAGGCAGCUCACUGGACUGCAACUGACACUGAGGCUCGAAAGUGUGGGUAUCAAACAGGAUUAGAUACCCUAGUAGUC